rnacentral:rRNA from 1 species
AUUGAACGCUGGCGGCAGGCCUAACACAUGCAAGUCGAGCGGAGCGGCGGACGGGUGAGUAAUGCCUAGGUAUCUGCCUGGUAGUGAGGGCUAACGUCCGGAAACGGGCGCUGAUACCGCAUACUAUCAGAUGAGCCUAGGUGGGAGUAGCUAGUGGGUGGGGUAAGGGCCUACCAAGGCGACGAUCCGUACCUGGUCUGCGAGGAUGAACAGUCCCACUGGAGCUGAGACACGGUCCAGACUCCUACGGGAGGCAGCAGUGGGGAAGUGUGGACAAUGGGCGCAAGCCUGAGACAUCGAGGCCGCGUGUAUGAAGAAGGCCUUCGGGUUGUAAAGUACGUGCAGGGGGGAGGCGUUACCCGCAGAAGAAGCACCGGCUAACUCCGUGCCAGCAGCCGCGGUAAUUC